UCCGCCUUGGUGUAACGGCAGCACGACGGCCUUUGGUGCCGUGAGGUCCGGGUUCGAAUCCUGGAGGCGGAGCCG
rnacentral:tRNA from 1 species